rnacentral:rRNA from 1 species
GGUUAAGCGACUAAGCGUACACGGUGGAUGCCCUGGCAGUCAGAGGCGAUGAAGGACGUGCUAAUCUGCGAAAAGCGUCGGUAAGGUGAUAUGAACCGUUAUAGCCGGCGAUGUCCGAAUGGGGAAACCCAGUGCAAUUCGUUGCACUAUCGUUUGAUGAAUACAUAGUCAAACGAGGCGAACCGGGGGAACUGAAACAUCUAAGUACCCCGAGGAAAAGAAAUCAACCGAGAUUCCCCCAGUAGCGGCGAGCGAACGGGGAGCAGCCCGGAGUCUGAAUCAGCUUGUGUGUUAGUGGAAGCGUCUGGAAAGUCGCAGGGUACAGGGUGAUACUCCCGUACACUAAAACACACAGGUUGUGAACUCGAAGAGUAGGGCGGGACACGUGGUAUCCUGUCUGAAUAUGGGGGGACCAUCCUCCAAGGCUAAAUACUCCUGACUGACCGAUAGUGAACCAGUACCGUGAGGGAAAGGCGAAAAGAACCCCGGCGAGGGGAGUGAAAAAGAACCUGAAACCGUGUACGUACAAGCAGUAGGAGCCCACUUGUUGGGUGACUGCGUACCUUUUGUAUAAUGGGUCAGCGACUUAUAUUCUGUAGCAAGGUUAACCGUAUAGGGGAGCCGCAGGGAAACCGAGUCUUAACUGGGCGUUAAGUUGCAGGGUAUAGACCCGAAACCCGGUGAUCUAGCCAUGGGCAGGUUGAAGGUUGGGUAACACUAACUGGAGGACCGAACCGACUAAUGUUGAAAAAUUAGCGGAUGACUUGUGGCUGGGGGUGAAAGGCCAAUCAAACCGGGAGAUAGCUGGUUCUCCCCGAAAGCUAUUUAGGUAGCGCCUCGUGAAUUCAUCUUCGGGGGUAGAGCACUGUUUCGGCUAGGGGGUCAUCCCGACUUACCAACCCGAUGCAAACUACGAAUACCGAAGAAUGUUAUCACGGGAGACACACGGCGGGUGCUAACGUCCGUCGUGAAGAGGGAAACAACCCAGACCGCCAGCUAAGGUCCCAAAGUCAUGGUUAAGUGGGAAACGAUGUGGGAAGGCCCAGACAGCCAGGAUGUUGGCUUAGAAGCAGCCAUCAUUUAAAGAAAGCGUAAUAGCUCACUGAUCGAGUCGUCCUGCGCGGAAGAUGUAACGGGGCUAAACCAUGCACCGAAGCUGCGGCAGCGACGCU